UGGAAACCCAGACAGCGUUAAUUCAAUCAACAUCAACUCCAUCAACACCUUUCAACUCAUAGAAGGCAGCAUCUCGCCAAGGUGUCGAAAGGGGGACAACAGAGGGAACAGCAGGACCUUUUGAACAAACAUCGCGAACAGCCAACAACUUCAACCUUCACAGACGAGCAACACAUCUGAAAGGAACGGCAACCUCCUGAUAUGCUAAGAGACGCAUAGGCUAAAUUACCCCAUAUGGAGCAAAGACCACAGGAGGGAAACAACGGACAAUUCAAGCGUCACAGACACACACACAUUAACACACACACACACAAACACACACACACGGAUACUUGCUCACAGACACACACUUAACUGUAUCAAACCGUCAACCCACAUUUCAAUAAAGUAAUGACAUGCCAUGUACACCUCAGUAACCAGAAAGGAAAUGCUUUAAGAUGUUGUAACACUGUAAUGUAUCUCCCAUAAUCCGUUAUCUUCUGUACAAUUGUGUAAUCCGAGCAAUUUCAUUUUUGUUUGAGUUCAUCUUCAUGUAUAGUUCAUUUUGUUCUGUGUUCCCACUGUUUGUAACUUCAUGUUUCCGAAUGGCUACCCUGUACUGUACAUGUAAUUAUUUCUCUGCUUACAUUUUUCGGCUCUCGUGGCUUCGAAAGGGCGGUCAUUUUGAUAUGACGUCGGUAAGGAAUUUCCCCUUAAAAACAUCAGGGGGGCCCACCAAAAAUUGGCAAACAGGUGUGAGGCACCCUGAUGAGAAAAGGUUUCGCCUUACCUCGCGAGAGAAUGCGCACCUUUGGGAGAAAGAGAGAGAGA